UGUUUAGGUUUGUUCAUCGAAGUCAUUGCUCUGCUCUAAGUCCAGUUAUGAAAACGGUUUCUGGACAUAGCCCAUAGAGGGUGAAAGGCCCGUAUGAGUGGAGAACUUGGCAGUGUCUUCCUGAGCGAACCUUGGAGUCGGGUUGUUUGAGAAUGCAGCCCAAAGUGGGUGGUAAACUCCAUCCAAGGCUCAAUACUGGCACGAGUCCGAUAGCGAACAAGUACCGUGAGGGAAAGUUGAAAAGUACUCUGAAGAGAGAGUAAACAGUACGUGAAACCGCUCAAGGUAAACGGGAAGAGUUGAACUGCAAGCCUGGAAGGUUCAGCUGAUUCGGUUGUUUGGCUGGCAUUGUGGUCCACAAAAAUGGUGGGUUACUGCUCCUUGUGGGUGGUGACGAGUGUGUACUAGAACAGUGCAACUCGCUGCUUUGUUGGUGCUGCCGGGUCAGUGCACUUCUUUCAGGUCUUCAUCACGACCGGCGCUGCUGUCUGUCUGCUGUGGCUAAACCAGUGGGGCUCGGUCCUUGUGGCCUUGUUCUGCUGGGAUGGCAGGUAGCUUGUUGGUACUUGUGCCUUCAGGUGUAAUAGCUAGCCUCAGUGUGAGCUGUGCGGUGUGCCGGAGAUUGCGGUUAUGAUGGGUGGCGUGAAUGCUGGCUUUGGUCGGCUAUGGGUCGGUUGCCUUUCGGUGGCUUGCCUGUGGUUGGCGUUGGUUAGUUCUUUGCGUUGCUUUUAAUGGCCGAUAGUCUGUGAUGUAGUGGUAUGCUCUCUUCCCGACCCGUCUUGAAACACGGACCAAGGAGUUUAACAUGUGCGCGAGUCAUUGGGUUCUACGAAACCUACAGGCGUAAUGAAAGUAAAGGUUUGGCUUGUCUGAACUGAGGUGAGAUCCGGUUUAUUAGUUGGCUUUUGCUUUCUGAUUUAUCGGCGCAUCACCGGCCCGUCCCAUGGUGUGGUCAUAGCUCCUUGUGGGUUGUGCGUCACCGGGGUGGAGCAUGAGCGUACACGUCGAGACCCGAAAGAUGGUGAACUAUGCUUGUGCAGGUUGAAGCCAGAGGAAACUCUGGUGGAGGACCGCAGCGAUUCUGACGUGCAAAUCGAUCGUCAAAC
rnacentral:rRNA from 1 species